CCCAUAAAACAGGGGGUCGAUUCCACUGUGCCCAAGAGGAUGGCAAAGCCGUAGAUGCCCUUGCCUCUCGCGAACAGUGGGAGAGCAAGCUGAAUGACGGGCAGGAGCGAACAGUACUGCUGUUUGAGGGAGACGAUUUGAGAAGGCUGGGGGAGGAAAUGAACAAACUGGUACAGUUCCAGAGAGAAGCCGGGGGUUUCAGAGACGUUCUUUUGGAAAAGAAGGAUCAUGAAUAAACUUGAGAGGGAGUGAAGAAAUGAAUGGGUCUUAGUGCACUGUACUGCACAGAGCUGCACCUCUGGCAUCUACAUAAUCUUUAAUCGAUGGUCUGAAAAUAAUGUAGUGGUACUGGUAAAUUAAUGCUGCAAUCAAAUUAUGAGGGGAUGUUUUUUGACCAUAACAUUUUAAAUAUGAAGGAAAUGAUGUUCUGUAAAUGUAAUUAUCAUGUUAAUUGUUAAUGACAACUGUGACUAAAGCUGUAGGUUGUGUGUUAUAACUGUGUCACUACACAGUUAUUUAUAAAUGUCAGUACAUUUUUGCUUUUUUUUUUUUUUUUUUUACAUUUAACGGUAUUGAAUAAAAUAUUUUCUCGGUGAAUACGAAAUGCA
rnacentral:lncRNA from 1 species